UUGCCUGAUUAUAGUGACAUUGCCUAAUCUAAAGUGUUUUUCCUGUUGAAACCACAGAAGUUUUCAUUACCACAAAUGGAUAGAAAGUUGGAUGUAACAAAUGUUACGCAUUCCUUACAAAUCAACAUAAAUCCUAGUCAAGAAAGUACAACCUUUCUUCAUUAUUACAAAAUCUAUUGAGGCACCACAACUAAAAAGCUGAGAAAUAAUAAUAAUAAUUGAAAAAACAAACAUUUAACAUCAAUCACCUAGAUUUAAAAAAAAGAUAUAUUACCUUUGAACUAUAUGCUGAGGGUAAAACACCACACUUGCACUUCAAAUUUUCGUAAUCUCAUUGCCCUUCAGUUAUUCAAGUCUGUAUGAGUACGACAGUAUAAAGAGUCACCGUAUUAAUAGAAGUUAAUCCACAGCACUCUGGUCACUUCUCAACUACAAAGGAUGACGAUCUGUUCAUUUUUUAUUUUCCUUAUCUUGUUGACAUCCGUGUUCGCUCGAUCAUGGAAGAUUGGUGACAACGGUCUGGUACGCUGGGACAACAAUUGUCAUUUUCCUGGCUACGUGAUGACCCAAAGAGACGUUCUUAGCGAGGAUUGUGGAAAAACCUGCAUUUCACUGCCCUUUUGUACUCACUUUACUCAUGCAGGUAGAACCUGUUACCUCAAGAGAAAUACGGACGGAUGGAGGGAAAUCGAUGAGGAUAACAACACUUGUGGUUUUAUCCCUGGUCGUAGCUUACAGCCUCUACGCAAAAAAACAUUUCAUUUAUCUGAC